ensembl:lncRNA
AAUGUCUCUCCAUUUGUUAAAUGUUGCAGCUUCUGAUCCUAUGUAAUUUCUCCUGCAGGGUUGUGUGUAUGAUCUGUAUGCAGUUAUGAAACACGUGGGUUCUCUCUGUGGAGGACAUUACUAUGUCACCAUCAAAUCAUUCGAAGACAAUCUCUGGUAUCAGUUUAAUGACUCCAUGGUAACACCUGAGGGAAAAACCGUCCACUCAUAUAUGUAUUCUGAAAAGUUCUUUAGGUCUUCGGAAGCAUGUCUCCUGCUGUACAAAAGACAACAAGGAGACUAUGGAAAGGCUGACAGAGGGCACUCAGAAAGCACUCCAGAGCCAGCGCCAGAGAACACUCUAGCGAAAGAGAACACUCCAGCACCAGAGAACACUCCAGCACCAGAGAACACACCAGCACCAGAGAACACACCAGCACCAGAGAGCACUCCAGCACCAGAGAACACACCAGCACCAGAGAGCACUCCAGCACCAGAGAACACACCAGCACCAGAGAGCACUCCAGCCCCAGAGAACACUCCAGCACCAGAGAACACUCCAGCACCAGAGAACACUCCAGCACCAGAGAACACUCCAGCACCAGAGAACACUCCAGCACCAGAGAACACACCAGCACCAGAGAGCACUCCAGCACCAGAGAGCACUCCAGCACCAGAGAGCACUCCAGCACCAGCAACAGAGAAUACUCAAGGGCCAGAAAACACUCCAGCGACAGAAAACACCAGAGCAACACAGAGCACUCCAGAGUCAGCAACUGAGAACACUCCAGCAACAGUGAACACUCCAGAGUCAGCAACUGAGAACACUCCAGCAACAGUGAACACUCCAGCUAAAGCGAACACUCCAGAGCCUGUGACGGAGAACACUCCAGCUAAAGCGAACACUCCAGAGUCAGCAACUGAGAACACUCCAGCUAAAGCGAACACUCCAAAGUCAGCAACUGAGAACACUCCAGCAACAGUGAACACUCCAGAGCCAGCCAUAGAGAGCAUUCCAGCCAAACGAGUGAAGAGCUAAGCUAAUCUUUUUAUGAUUUUUACUGCUGGUAUGCUCCACCAUUAGACACCAAAACAUGGCAACCACUCCAAUCUCCAUUGUUAGACACAACUGUGCGGCAAACAAUGCCGCUCCGCACCACUGGAUACCAACAGGUGCCAUUCACGGUGCAAUCUUCGCCUACAACAUUGAUAGUUGGGCAAUCUAUUGUCAAAUAUUUUAACAGAGACUCUGCCAUCACCUACUCCUUGAAAAGGUAAAAGAGAUCACACAGCAGCUUCCCAGCCUCCAUGUUAAGCACCCAGUGGUUGGUAAUGUUAUUGUUCACGUAGGCUGCAAAGAUCAAAGAUGAAAAUUCUGAACUCAUGAACAAAGACUUGUAGUGGACUCAGUGAUCAUUCUAAUAUAAUCAGUCCUCUGAUGGACUUCUUUGACUGUCUUUGCUGUUUGCCACAUGCCUACACCCCACCCAUCCAACUAUUAAUGCAUACCUAAUAACUUUUGGCAAAAGCAUCAAAGAGCUGAACUUUAAGAACCCUCUCCCCGGACUUGAAAAUGAAAAUGAUUUUAUUGUGGUAAUUUCUGCCUCAGCAGUGCCCUCUCAGGUUUAACUGUUUAAUAGGUGAGGAUUAUGUGUACAUGUACCAAAGUACAUGGAAACGUCAUCCACGCCUAUAAUACAAAAGAACUCACAAUAUGUAAAUCAAUCAAUCAAUAAUACCGCCCCCUGCAAUCCCAUAAGGCGGCAAGGUGGCUUAGUGGUUAGCACGUUCGCCUCCCAGCACUGGGGUCUUGGGUUCAAGUCUCUAUCUGGGUGGAGUUUCCAUGAUCUCCCCGUCUCUGCGUGGGUUUCUUCCGGGGACUCCGGUUUCCUCCCAGAGUCCAAAAACAUGGAGAUCAGGUAAAUUGGAUACUCUAAAUUGGUCUGGUAAAUUAAUACUCUAAAUUGAUCUGGUGUGUGUGUGUGUGUGUGUGUGUGUAAGUGUGUGAUGUGUUUGUGUGUGUGUGUAAAUGUGUGUAUGUAUGACUGUGCCCAGAUAUGGAUUGGCACUCCGUCCUGGGUAAAUGAUGUAGUGCCUGAUGCAGUCCUCCAGGUGGACGGUCGUUUCCGGUUGAGAGUAUGCUGUGCGCUAUUGGCUGCCGCUUCUCACCAGUGUGUGGAUGAGUGUUAAUGUGUAAUGUAUGCUUGUGUGUAAAACGUGUUAAUUGUAAAGCGUCCUUGGGUUUCUAGAAAUGCGCUAUAUAAGUUCAACUUCAUUCAUUCAUACAUCACCCAGUGCCCCUCCCGAAAAUCAGGGGGGUUAGUUACCCUUUACCUCUAAAAGCACUGCUUAUGAAAUCUCUUAUGAAAUCUGCUCUAAAAUCUGUUCCACUGCUAUAAACGUAGUUCCCUGAUGGCAUUCAGCAGGUUCUGAACUAAACAAGUCUCGACAAGUAUAAAUCUAUCGGACAGCCAGGAAGCCUUUUCACACGCCCAAGAUCUGUCCCCUAGCACUAAAACCCGUUAACGGUAUCUGGAUGCAUUCCACCAAAAACAUCUAGCAAUUUGUAAAAAAUAGUGGUGGGACAAGACUGCUCCCUACAGGAGAACCAAUUCACUUUAACUGACAGAGUCCCUCAGCAAAUAAGAAAAUGUAGUUAUUCAUUGGGGAUAGAAUAAAACACAUGAACUCUCUGAACUCA